UCGAGAAUAUUCGACAAUGGGCGAAAGCCUGAUCGAGCGACGCCGCGUGCAGGAUGAAGGCCUUCGGGUCGUAAACUGCGGUAAUACAGUAACAAUGUAAAUGAGUGCUGUAUGGAAAGAGGUGGGUAACUACGUGCCAGCACCAGCGGUAAUACGUAGACCUCAAGCGUUAUCCGGAUUUAUUGGGCGUAAAGCGCGUGUAGGAGGUUUUGUGCGUCUUCUGUUAAAGCCCAGGGCCUAACCCUGGAAGUGCAGGAGAUACGACAUAACUAGAGGAGGUUAGAGGUGCAUGGAACGCACGGUGUAGGGGUGAAAUCCGUUGAUAUCGUGCGGAACACCAAAGGCGAAGGCAGUGCACUGGGACCUUCCUGACUCUGAGACGCGAAAGCGUGGGGAGCAAAAAGG
rnacentral:rRNA from 1 species